rnacentral:tRNA from 1 species
GAAAGAGAAGUAUUAAGUACAAGUGAUUUCCAGUCAUUGAGAGGAAUAUUUUGA